AUACGGAGGUUGCAAGCGUUAAUCGGAAUUACUGGGCGUAAAGGGCGCGUAGGCGGUCUAUCAAGUCAGGUGUGAAAUCCCACGGCUCAACCGUGGAGGUGCAUCUGAAACUGAUAGACUUGAGUAUGGGAGAGGAAAGUGGAAUUCCCGGUGUAGAGGUGAACUUCGUAGAUAUCGGGAGGAACACCAGUGGCGAAGGCGACUUUCUGGACCAAUACUGACGCUGAGGCGCGAAAGCGUGGGGAGCAAACAGGAUUAGAAACCCUAGUAGUCC
rnacentral:rRNA from 1 species